rnacentral:rRNA from 1 species
AACGAACGCUGGCGGCAGGCUUAACACAUGCAAGUCGAGCGCCCCGCAAGGGGAGCGGCAGACGGGUGAGUAACGCGUGGGAAUCUACCCAAUACUACGGAAUAGCUCCGGGAAACUGGAAUUAAUACCGUAUGUGCCCUACGGGGGAAAGAUUUAUCGGUAUUGGAUGAGCCCGCGUUGGAUUAGCUAGUUGGUGGGGUAAUGGCCUACCAAGGCGACGAUCCAUAGCUGGUCUGAGAGGAUGAUCAGCCACACUGGGACUGAGACACGGCCCAGACUCCUACGGGAGGCAGCAGUGGGGAAUAUUGGACAAUGGGCGAAAGCCUGAUCCAGCCAUGCCGCGUGAGUGAUGAAGGCCUUAGGGUUGUAAAGCUCUUUUAGUGGGGAAGAUAAUGACGGUACCCACAGAAAAAGCCCCGGCUAACUUCGUGCCAGCCGCCGCAGUAA